GUUGAAGUGUGCCUCUCCACAGAAGUGGUGCUUCUAUGAAGGACAGAUCAGUUGGGUUACCAACAAGUUUCAGAGAAAGGGAAAGAGAUUCAACAAUGCUAUGUGUUCCAUAUGUGGAAAAAACAUUAAGAGGAAACAAAUUUAUUUUAUUCAGUUUCUGCUCAGCAGCACUAUUGAUAUUGCUAGUUGGCAUUGUUUUCACGUUGCGUUUAUUAACCGCUAUACCCAAGCAACCUAGUAGGUAG
rnacentral:lncRNA from 11 species